UGGUAGGCAGGUUUGCCACUGCUACACGGGUGGGUUUAAACUAAAUAGAGGGGGUGGGCGGGUGGGAUCUCAUAUAGGACAGAGGCAGGUGAGAUGUUAGAAGUUGGUAUGGAGGGUGGUGUGGGAAAGGUUAGUGGACAGAAUAGGUAGGUGAAAGGCAGAGAGCGAGGAAGGAGGGACAAUUUAAACUGCACGUAU